UUGACCUCUGACCUCAAAUCAGGUAGGGUUACCCGCUGAACUUAAGCAUAUCAAUAAGCGGAGGAAAAGAAACUAACAAGGAUUCCCCUAGUAACUGCGAGUGAAGCGGGAAAAGCUCAAAUUUAAAAUCUGGCAGUCUUUGGCUGUCCGAGUUGUAGUCUGGAGAAGUGCUUUCCGUGCUGGACCGUGUACAAGUCUCUUGGAACAGAGCGUCAUAGAGGGUGAGAAUCCCGUCUUUGACACGGACUACCAGUGCUUUGUGAUGCGCUCUCAAAGAGUCGAGUUGUUUGGGAAUGCAGCUCAAAAUGGGUGGUGAAUUCCAUCUAAAGCUAAAUAUUGGCGAGAGACCGAUAGCGAACAAGUACCGUGAGGGAAAGAUGAAAAGCACUUUGGAAAGAGAGUUAAACAGUACGUGAAAUUGCUGAAAGGGAAACGCUUGAAGUCAGUCGCGUUGGCCAGGACUCAGCCUUGCUUUUUUGCUUGGUGCAUUUUCUGGUUGACGGGUCAGCAUCAGUUUUGAUUGUCGGAAAAAGGUUGGAGGAAUGUGGCACCUUCGGGUGUGUUAUAGCCUCUGGUCACAUACGACGGUUAGGACUGAGGAUAUCAGCACGCCUUUAUGGCCGGGGUUCGCCCACGUUCGUGCUUAGGAUGCUGGCAUAAUGGC
rnacentral:rRNA from 1 species